GUCCACGCCGUAAACGAUGCGUGCUAGACGUUGGGGUGCAUGCCCUUCGGUGUCGCAGCUAACGCGGGAAGCACGCCGCCUGGGGAGUACGGUCGCAAGAUUAAAACUCAAAGGAAUUGACGGGGGCCGCACAAGCGGUGGAGCAUGUGGUUUAAUUCGAAGCAACGCGCAGAACCUUACCAGCCCUUGACAUGGGGCGUAUGGGUCCGGGAGACCGGGCUCUUCAGUUCGGCUGGCGCCCACACAGGUGCUGCAUGGCUGUCGU
rnacentral:rRNA from 1 species